UCUUCCGUAGUAUAGUGGUCAGUAUGUGAGCUUGUCAUCAGGCUCAAGAGCCGAGGCAUCGCUCGAGACCCGGGUUCAAUUCCCGGCGGGAGAG
rnacentral:tRNA from 1 species